rnacentral:rRNA from 1 species
GACGAACGCUGGCGGCGUGCUUAACACAUGCAAGUCGAACGGAAAGGCCCCUUCGGGGGUACUCGAGUGGCGAACGGGUGAGUAACACGUGGGUGAUCUGCCCCAAACUCUGGGAUAAGCCUGGGAAACUGGGUCUAAUACUGGAUAUGACCUUCUGCUUCAUGGUGGUUGGUGGAAAGCUUUUGCGGUUUGGGAUGGGCCCGCGGCCUAUCAGCUUGUUGGUGGGGUAAUGGCCUACCAAGGCGACGACGGGUAGCCGACCUGAGAGGGUGAUUGGGCAGACUGGGACUGAGACACGGCCCAGGCUCCUACGGGAGGCAGCAGUGGGGAAUAUUGCACAAGGGGCGCAAGCCUGAUGCAGCGACGCCGCGUGAGGGAUGACGGCCUUCGGGUUGUAAACCUCUUUCGGCAGGGACGAAGCGCAAGUGACGGUACCUGCAGAAGAAGCACCGGCCAACUACGUGCCAGCCGCCGCCGUAACAC